rnacentral:rRNA from 1 species
GACGAACCGAGCGAACGUUGUUCGGAAUUACUGGGCGUAAAGCGUGCGCAGGCGGUUCGUUGUGUCGGCGGUGAAAGCCCCGGGCUCAACCUGGGAAUGGCCGUUGAAACUGGCGAACUGGAGUGUGGCAGAGGGGGGUGGAAUUCCGCGUGUAGCAGUGAAAUGCGUAGAGAUGCGGAGGAACACCGAUGGCGAAGGCAGCCCCCUGGGCUAACACUGACGCUCAGGCACGAAAGCGUGGGGAGCAAACAGG